rnacentral:rRNA from 1 species
CCUACGGGAGGCAGCAGUGGGGAAUCUUGCGCAAUGGGCGAAAGCCUGACGCAGCCAUGCCGCGUGAAUGAUGAAGGUCUUAGGAUUGUAAAAUUCUUUCACCGGGGACGAUAAUGACGGUACCCGGAGAAGAAGCCCCGGCUAACUUCGUGCCAGCAGCCGCGGUAAUACGAAGGGGGCUAGCGUUGCUCGGAAUUACUGGGCGUAAAGGGAGCGUAGGCGGAUAGUUUAGUCAGAGGUGAAAGCCCAGGGCUCAACCUUGGAAUUGCCUUUGAUACUGGCUAUCUUGAGUGUGGGAGAGGUAUGUGGAACUCCGAGUGUAGAGGUGAAAUUCGUAGAUAUUCGGAAGAACACCAGUGGCGAAGGCGACAUACUGGCCCAUUACUGACGCUGAGGCUCGAAAGCGUGGGGAGCAAACAGGAUUAGAUACCCUGGUAGUCCACGCUGUAAACGAUGAGUGCUAGUUGUCGGCAGGCAUGCCUGUCGGUGACGCAGCUAACGCAUUAAGCACNCNCNCGNGAGUGCGANANAAUAACAANANAGUAGUAGAGNGAGAGAGNGACGACGACGACGAGGAGGAG